rnacentral:rRNA from 1 species
AGCGAACGCUGGCGGCAGGCUUAACACAUGCAAGUCGAGCGGGCAUCUUCGGAUGUCAGCGGCAGACGGGUGAGUAACACGUGGGAACGUACCCUUCGGUUCGGAACAACUCUGGGAAACUGGAGCUAAUACCGGAUACGCCCUUAUGGGGAAAGGUUUACUGCCGAAGGAUCGGCCCGCGUCUGAUUAGCUAGUUGGUGGGGUAACGGCCUACCAAGGCGACGAUCAGUAGCUGGUCUGAGAGGAUGAUCAGCCACAGUGGGACUGAGACACGGCCCAGACUCCUACGGGAGGCAGCAGUGGGGAAUAUUGGACAAUGGGCGCAAGCCUGAUCCAGCCAUGCCGCGUGAGUGAUGAAGGCCUUAGGGUUGUAAAGCUCUUUUGUCCGGGACGAUAAUGACGGUACCGGAAGAAUAAGCCCCGGCUAACUUCGUG